CAAUAGCGUAUAUUAAAGUUGUUGCAGUUAAAAAGCUCGUAGUUGGAUUUCUGAUGAGAGUACGGGUCGGCCUUAACGGGUUGCACUGUUGUUACGUCUCGUCGUUUCGAGGGGAAUGGGUUCGCUAUUAGGUUAGUGGGCUCGGGAACCUUGUCGUUUACUGUGAAAAAAUUAGAGUGUUUAAAGCAGGCCUUCGCCUUGAAUACAUUAGCAUGGAAUAAUAAGAUAGGACUUUGGUCUAUUUUGUUGGUUUGCAGACCGAAGUAAUGAUUAAUAGGGAUAGUUGGGGGUAUUUAUAUUCCGAUGUCAGAGGUGAAAUUCUUAGAUUUUCGGAAGAUAAACUUAUGCGAAAGCAUUUACCAAGGAUGUUUUCAUUA
rnacentral:rRNA from 1 species